GUGACGAUGACUCACACAAACAUCUGCUGCGCUCGACCAGCUUACGACAUCUAGCGGCAGACCUGAAAGAGUAGCGGAGCGCGACCACGCUGGCGCAUAUCGUAACUCGUUUUCCUUGCGUCAGUUCGAGUGGCGCUGUUGGCGCGCGUGCGUGUGUGGGUCUGACUGGGAGCUAAAUUUCUCCUCGCGUGUGGCAGCUGUUAUCAGCUCACGCGCGACGCUCGACAGCCCAACUUCAGUAGAAUAUUUUCAUGUUCUUCGUGUUCCACGUCCGUUAGCCGAGGAAAAGAUGAAUACCAUCACGCAGUUAUUCUCUGCCAUAAUGUUUCUACAGAAAUUGUCCUAUACAACGAGUCUGCGCUGCUACAGAUGUACCUCUGUUAAUCAGCCGGUUGUGUUGAGUGCCACGGAGAAGAUUCUCUCAUGUUCUGGCUUCAACUAUUCAUCUUUGUUUGAAAUUGAGUGCAAGUAUUCCACAUAUUGCAGGAAGAAAACGUUUGAGCUCGCUCUGUCAUCAGAUA